GAUGGAACAGGAGAUAGCAACAGAGAAGAUGCGCCCUGCCUGACCUUUCUGCAGUCUCCCACCUGAUCGCCCUGGGCCAGCCCCCCUCUGCCAUUCCUACCGGACUCAAGGAGGCUUGGCAGGAAAAGAAGUUUAUUUGAGCCUUUCAGAAAAGUCUUCCUGUUAUUCUGAGAGAGACAUCUGAGUGACUCUCAGGCUCGAUCUGAACAAGGAAGCACGAAGACCAGACAGGAACCAUCCUCCAGCCACAGGGGAAAUAGCCUCUGAAUGAACCUGCUCUGAGGACUGCAAGGAGGAAAUGAACAAAGAACCUGGGAUAAUGAGGGUCUCGUUGCACUGCUAGGUCAAUCAGGCCUGAAGCUGGAAGUUGCUGUUAAAUGAGCAAAUACAUUUCUUUGUUUUGAAACAUAAUUGAGUUGGGUAUUCUGUUAGAGUUUAAAAGCAUCCUAAAUGAAGUUCAUAACAGCUCUUCUUUGAAAAACACUUUUACCAUUUUAAUCAACUUAGAUUCUUAAUUAUAGGCAACCAAAAUCUCUCUAGCUAGUUUAAGCAGAAAAGGAAUUCAUUAAGGGAUAUUAGGUAGCCUACUGAAGCUCUCACAGAGGCAAAGAGUUAUCAUGCUAAACAUCACACAAACCAUAACAGGCAUUGGCCAGACACCACAAUUUGCC